rnacentral:rRNA from 1 species
GAUGAACGCUGGCGGCGUGCUUAACGCAUGCAAGUCGAGCGAGAAGUUUUGAAAAGAUUCUUCGGAUGCAAUUUAAAAUGGAAAGCGGCGGACGGGUGAGUAACGCGUAGGCAACCUGCCCCAUACAAAGGGAUAGCAUUUGGAAACGAAUAUUAAUACCUUAUGAAACUUAACUAGUGCAUGCUAGGUAGGUCAAAGAUUUAUCGGUAUGGGAUGGGCCUGCGUCUGAUUAGCUAGUUGGUGAGGUAACGGCUCACCAAGGCGACGAUCAGUAGCCGACCUGAGAGGGCGAACGGCCACAUUGGAACUGAGACACGGUCCAAACUCCUACGGGAGGCAGCAGUGGGGAAUAUUGCACAAUGGGGGAAACCCUGAUGCAGCAACGCCGCGUGAACGAUGAAGGCCUUUGGGUCGUAAAGUUCUGUUCCAGGUGAUGAAAACUGACAGUAACCUAGGAGAAAGCCCCGGCUAACUCCGUG